UACGGAGGGUGCAAGCGUUGUCCGGAUUUAUUGGGUUUAAAGGGUGCGCAGGCGGCACGUUAAGUCAGUGGUGAAAUCCUCCCGCUCAACGGGAGAACUGCCAUUGAUACUGGCGUGCUUGAGUACGGACGAGGUAGGCGGAAUUUAUGGUGUAGCGGUGAAAUGCAUAGAUACCAUAAAGAACACCGAUAGCGAAGGCAGCUUACUAGACCGUAACUGACGCUCAUGCACGAAAGCGUGGGGAGCAAACAGG
rnacentral:rRNA from 1 species